rnacentral:lncRNA from 1 species
CGGGGGCUAAACUGAACAUCAGAACUUAACUUAGGGACAAAAAAAGGUUUAAACCUAAAAUAUAUUUGUUAUGAGUCUAGAUCUUGAAUUGUAAUUACAUUGAUUAUUUAUUAGGGAUUUGGAAGUUGAGUUAGAUAGAAUUUGGACAAACAUACACUUAACUUUAAAAAACAAAACUAAUGAGUUGGGUUGCGUUUCUGCAUUUUAAUGUUAAAC